rnacentral:rRNA from 1 species
UGACCUCAGAUCAGUAGGGAUCCCGCUGAACUAGCAUUCAAAAAAUACUCCAUAUGA